rnacentral:rRNA from 1 species
CCUGUAGCGGCAUGAGGAGGACAUUAUUGAAGCUCGGAACGUCGCGUUCGGUUACUGAUGCUGCCCGGAAACGGGAUGUGCUCGCAAUCGGAUGCGGUGUCCCUUCUCUAUCCACCCCACUGUGAACCAAGCGUGCGAGCCAGUAAAGAGGGGGGAGACCCCUUCCGAAAGCUUGCAUGCAAACCUAUAACAUACCCCAAAGAAGUAUCAGAAUGUAACUUGCGUUAACUCGCACAUAUAUAACUUUCAACAACGGAUCUCUUGGCUCUCGCAUCGAUGAAGAACGCAGCGAAAUGCGAUAAGUAAUGUGAAUUGCAGAAUUCAGUGAAUCAUCGAAUCUUUGAACGCACCUUGCGCCCCUUGGCAUUCCGAGGGGCACGCCUGUUUGAGUGUCGUGAACUCCUCCACUCCCCGCUUUUCUUUACGAAUGGCGGUGCGAGCUGGGAUUUGGGAGCUUGCGGGUCCCUGGCCGAUCCGCUCUCCUUGAAUGCAUUAGCAGAGCCCUCGCGGCCUUGGUGUGAUAGUAAUCUACGCCUCGGCUUAACGCAUAUACAGUGUGGCUACGCUUCCAACCGUCUCGCAAGGGACAACUAAUCAUCAACUUGACCUCAAAUCAGGCGGGACUACCCGCUGAACUUAAGCAUAUCAUAGCCCGGGGAGAAAA